rnacentral:piRNA from 2 species
UACUCAAUUUCCCAUACGUCUUUGCGAGU